rnacentral:rRNA from 1 species
AGAAGGCAUCUUUUUAUUUUUAAAAGACCUAGCAAUAGGUAUGCUUAGGGAAGAGCUUGCGUCACAUUAGUUAGUUGGUGGGGUAAUGGCCUACCAAGACGAUGAUGUGUAGCCGGGCUGAGAGGUCGAACGGCCACAUUGGGACUGAGACACGGCCCAAACUCCUACGGGAGGCAGCAGUAAGGAAUUUUCGGCAAUGGAGGAAACUCUGACCGAGCAAUGCCGCGUGAACGAUGAAGUAUUUCGGUACGUAAAGUUCUUUUAUUAGGGAAGAAAAGAUGGUGGAAAAACCAUUAUGACGGUACCUAAUGAAUAAGCCCCGGCUAACUAUGUGCCAGCAGCCGCGGUAAUACAUAGGGGGCAAGCGUUAUCCGGAAUUAUUGGGCGUAAAGGGUGCGUAGGCGGUUAAAUAAGUUUAUGGUCUAAGUGCAACGCUCAACGUUGUGAUGCUAUAAAAACUGUUUAGCUAGAGUUGGAUAGAGGCAAGUGGAAUUCCGUGUGUAGUGGUAAAAUGCGUAAAUAUACGGAGGAACACCAGAAGCGAAGGCGGCUUGCUGGGUCUUAACUGACGCUGAGGCACGAAAGCGUGGGGAGCAAACAGGAUUAGAUACCCUGGUAGUCCACGCCCUAAACGAUGAGUACUAAACGUUGGAUAAAACCAGUGUUGAAGUUAACACAUUAAGUACUCCGCCUGAGUAGUACGUACGCAAGUAUGAAACUUAAAGGAAUUGACGGGACUCCGCACAAGCGGUGGAUCAUGUUGUUUAAUUCGAAGGUACCCGAAAAACCUCACCAGGUCUUGACAUGCUUUUGCAAAGCUGUAGAAAUACAGUGGAGGUUAUCAAAAGCACAGGUGGUGCAUGGUUGUCGUCAGCUCGUGUCGUGAGAUGUUGGGUUAAGUCCCGCAACGAGCGCAACCCUUGUUGUUAAUUGCCAUCAUUAAGUUGGGGACUUUAGCAAGACUGCCAAUGAUAAAUUGGAGGAAGGUGGGGACGACGUCAAAUCAUCAUGCCCCUUAUGACCUGGGCUACAAACGUGAUACAAUGGCUGUUACAAAGGGUAGCUAAAGCGUAAGCUUCUGGCGAAUCUCAAAAAAGCAGUCUCAGUUCGGAUUGAAGUCUGCAACUCGACUUCAUGAAGUUGGAAUCGCUAGUAAU